rnacentral:misc_RNA from 1 species
AUAAAUAUAUUUGAUAUUAUCCGUAGAAUUUAAUGUAGCCAUAGUUAGGGUCACAUACAUAUACUAAUCUAAACCAAAGUUACCAGUCUGGACACUCUUAUACCAAAAAUGUCAAAAACAUAAAGCAAGCAUCUGUCAAAUGAAGCCAAAAAAUAUCAAUAUGGCAACAACACCGGAUAUCGUUCUGCAUACGGUCGUAAAUGCUUUAGAAAUUGGCCGCUGGUCAUAGCACUGCAGAAGAUCUGUUAGACUUUUGCAUUUAACGCCACUUUCGCCAUCCUUACCACCGAAAGCAAAGAAUGAUAGAGUUCAGCUGUAAAAUUGAUCAUAUCGCAAGUUGCAAACACAAGUGGCGUUGCAUGACAAAACCUAACAAAUCGAUUGAAGCGCCUUACUUCAGAAACAUUUUCUGAUGCGUAAGAUUAUCUCAAGUCCUUAUCUCUCCACUGGAAUUUCCAGAUCUGUACUUAACUGUGAUCUAAUCCGACGAGACUUGUUUAUAUGACGAAAAAGGAAAUAAGAGUACUUGCGCCCAUGUUUUAGGUGUGCCACAAUACAGGUGCUCCAUCAUACGGACAAAUGCUGAACUUCCGCGCUAGCAUAUACAAGAACCUAUAAAGUUAGGGAUCUGCUCUGUUUGGUUCCAUGUUAGCAUAUGCUACGCAUACAUACCAUGCAUAGCAUGAUAAAUACAUAUCUACCGGAUAAAUAC